AAUGCAUGAUGAGGGCAUUUUUUCAUCAUCUCUUUGUACCUCUCCCAGGUUUCAUAGAGUGAUUCUCCAUCUUUCUAGGUAAAGGUAUGAAUAUCAUUCUUCAACCGU